rnacentral:lncRNA from 1 species
GCCUGUUUUCCACACAGGCACCCAGCUUUAGCACUGAAGACUGACAAAAUUCCACUCUGAGGAGGACCCCAGGCAACAGGACGUUCCAGCUGCUCAUUGCUGAAGUCACCUGCACUUACCACAGGCGGAACCCUGCUGCACCUUGGUCACUCACAGGCUGUCACGGGACUUCAGUGACGUUAAUAUGCAUAAAAUCCUCAGCACAUGCAUAGAGUGUGACAAGGGCUAUGGAAAAUAUUCCGCAAAGAAAUAAGUCAGAGACUGAUAAGUCCUCCCUGCUACUGGGAUCGGCUGAGUAGAGGCCUCAAGGCCAGCCUGUGGGCCUGGUGGCUCAGGGACAGCAACGUGGCCUGGGCCAGCCUCUCCCUGUGUCUUUGAGGAAAACAAGGCCAGAGCCCUAUGCAAAGAGCACUUCCCUCUGGACUGGAUGGCUGGACUUGAGUUCUGACUCCCCCAGAAACACAUAAGCUCUGUGGGCCUCCACUUCUCGUUGGUAACAGAGGGCUGCAGAGCGGGCUUCACGUGUUUCAAACCUUUUCUUCAAUCCAGAGGGUAAGUGGAACUCAAGGAGCUGAACCCAUUUGGAGCAGGAAUAAAGGUGGUUCCCCUUUCCCCACCCACCACUCAAGAGCCUUGCCCAGAGAGAACAGCUGAAAAUCCAGAGUCCAAGGCAGUACUUUCCAGCUUGGUAUAUGUGAACAUCACCUUGUUAACACAGACUGUGAUUCAGAAGUUGGGGGGCAGAGCCUGAGGGCCUGAGUUUCUAUUAAGCCCGAGCAGCUGCUAAUCUGGGCACCAUGCUCCAGGACAGGAGGUAAUUUCUGCUUAGCUCUAAAGCCCAUAAGUUCUCCUGAUCCCUAAAUUAGGGCACACCACUGGGGUCCCCUCCAGUAAUGGCUGUCAACUAAGUGGAAAGGUACCCAGUUCUAGCUCCUUCUCUGACUCUUUUUCUGGCAGAGUCAUUCGAGAGUUAAUUACAGAUACCAUAAUACUUCAUCCCUCCACAUUUCGAUUUAUCGUUCCUCGCAUCAAGGUCAUUCCCCUAUAUAACUGCAGAAGUUACAUUCAGGAACCUCAGCAUGGAUGCGAUUCUAGUUUGUAUCAAUAAAUUACAGUCCAUAGUCAAAUGGUGCCAAUAGCAUCUGGAUUUUUAAAAGUUUCAUACACUAUCAUAUGACUUCCUAAUGAUCCACUGGACGUUCAUGUAGGUUAAAAAAAAAAUCUUUUUGUUUCUGUACCUAGAAUCUAACUUUAUUUUAUAAGUAAACACAGCAUGAUUUUUCCAUAGUUUUAAUGAACAUUAAAGUUUACACAUGUUCAGUUACUGGAAAAACCAAGGAAGAAUGUACUUUGUCCUUUUCUGGAAUUGAAGGAAAGUUGUUCACUAUUUUGAAACAUUACAUGGCAGAGAGAAUGUUCUUCUGGUGUCACUGCUGGGAACACCUGGGUGAAGCUGUGUUUGUUACUAGAUCAUCCACGGGAUUCUGCUUGCAAGUAUGAAUGGUGACUAUUUUAUUGUGCUUCUUGUUUAUGCCACCUUAUCCACACACUAACACAAGUAUUAUUUUAUUAGAAAUCGUUUUCUUUUUAUUUCUUUUCCACUUCAUAUAAAAACAUUUGUCUUUUUUUUCCAAUGGUGAAUUACAGGUAGUAGUGAUAAUAAUGGUCAAUUUUAGUUUAGCAGCAUAGAAGGGGUGUUACAAAACAUUAAUAUAUAAAAAAAAGGAAUUGUUGAUCCCACUAGAAUGCCUAAAAUUAAGACUGACCCUGCAAGUGGUGAGGAUGUGGAGGAACUGGAAAGCUCAGACACAGCUGGUGGGAAGCAUAAUCACUUGGGAAAAAAAUUAUACUUUCUUAAAAAGUUAAACAAGAACCGUAGGAUCCAGACAUUUUCUUCCCA